UCUCUUUUUAGUACAUUUUAUUUAUGGGUACAAAGCUUUCGGAAAGACGCGAUGAAUAAUGCGUCAAAACCGCAGCGGUUAUGUAAAUAAAUAUAGAAUAUAUAAGUUGCGUCAAAGUAUUCGACCGCAAUCUAUUUCCUGCUGUACAGGCUUCCUAUAUUGCAUCAUAACAGGCGCGGUUACCAAGCUCCCAAAGAAAGUGAUCCCAAAAAAAAUUUCUGCUCGCG